CCCUCUCCUGGUGUAUUGUUUGAGUGUGGCUCUGAUGGUAUUCAUCCUCGGGCUCCUUGUUUUGUCAUCCCUGGUGUACAAGCUAAAACUAAAGCCUUUGUCUUCCUGCACAGGGGUUGGUGCCCACCAGAGAUUUUCUAUAACCACGCCAGAUGUGGAACAUGAUGCAGAAAGUCUCCAUUAUGCUGCUGUGGGUCUAAUGAGGGGCAAUGAACAACAGCAUAAAGAGGACGCUGUCAGCGCUUGUGUGUACUCCAGAGUAAGGAGCAGAAAAGAGUAAAUAUCUGAAGCAAGAAAACAACAACUCACAUGACUGAUUUAACUCUGUAUGAAUGUUGUGCUUGAAAAUAAACUAUGUUUCUCCGCA